rnacentral:rRNA from 1 species
GAUGAACGCUAGCGGCAGGCUUAAUACAUGCAAGUCGAGGGGUAGCAAGAUUGUAGCAAUACAAUUGUUGACGACCGGCAAACGGGUGCGGAACACGUACACAACCUUCCUACAAGUGGGGAAUAGCCCAGAGAAAUUUGGAUUAAUACCCCGUAACAUAGCGAUGUGGCAUCACAUUGCUAUUAUAGCUUCUGCGCUUGUUGGUGGGUGUGCGGCUGAUUAGAUAGUUGGCGGGGUAACGGCCCACCAAGUCUACGAUCAGUAGCUGAUGUGAGAGCAUGAUCAGCCACACGGGCACUGAGACACGGGCCCGACUCCUACGGGAGGCAGCAGUAAGGAAUAUUGGACAAUGGACGCAAGUCUGGUCCAGCCAUGCCGCGUGAAGGAUUAAGGUCCUCUGGAUUGUAAACUUCUUUUAUAAGGGACGAAAAAAGGUCUUUCUAGAUCGUCUGACGGUACCUUAUGAAUAAGCACCGGCUAACUCCGUGCCAGCAGCCGCCGUAAAAC